UCAACUUCUAUCAUGAGAAGAGAACCAGAAUGAGUAGUGAUCUUUUUCAUCAAGUAAUCACACACAAGUUCUUCAUCUUUUGGGUGGAAUCUAAACCCUGGAGCCAACUUUGACUCCACCAUACUUAUGUUGCUCAUUUUUCUCUCUAUCUACUUUCAACAAAGCUCUGAAAGAGAGAGAAUCUAUAGGAAAUGGAACCAAGUAUAUAAGAAAACACAGAAGGAAAUGAAACUAAUUUGGAAGAGAGAGAGAGA
rnacentral:misc_RNA from 1 species